GUUGAAGUGUGCCUCUCCACAGAAGUGGUGCUUCUAUGAAGGACAGAUCAGUUGGGUUACCAACAAGUUUCAGAGAAAGGGAAAGAGAUUCAACAAUGCUAUGUGUUCCAUAUGUGGAAAAAACAUUAAGAGGAAACAAAUUUAUUUUAUUCAGUUUCUGCUCAGCAGCACUAUUGAUAUUGCUAGUUGGCAUUGUUUUCACGUUGCGUUUAUUAACCGCUAUACCCAAGCAACCUAGUAGAUGCUCUAUCCAGGAUUCCAGGAAGAGACAACUGAGUAGGAAACAGGAAAAUGAACAGUCCAAAGCAGGUAACAAGUGGUAAAGUAUACAAAGUAUGUUUAUGCAUGAUUGUGUAAAAAAAAAGGGUUACAGUUACUCGAUGACUAAUGACCUUGUAAAUGUGAAAUGGGAUAAGUAUUUGAAUGCUUAUGUAUAUUA
rnacentral:lncRNA from 11 species